GAAGAGCAGGUUACGGUAGCGUCGAAAGGCCUCGUCGAGGACGACGCAACCCGCCUGCGCGGCCGAACCGGCAUGGUACCGGAACUGGAAGUUGUUGGGGUACAGCGUGUAGCGCCGGUGGUAGGUUUGGAUGUACUGGGGCCAGGGCCACACCGCCGUGGCCGUGCAAGCCAACGCCGCCGCCAGCAGCAGCGAAACCCAGAGCCUGCAGCCUGCCAUGGCCCACCGGCGAGCUCCCUCCCAGCAGGCUGAGCCCACGUUAGACCCGGGUCAGGUGAGCGGCGCCCGCGUGACAAUCGAAGGGUCACGUGGGCGCGCGGGAAGCUGGGCUCGAUCCCGGCGAUCGUUAGGCCACCGAUUCCGCAGCUCUCGGCCUGCUGGGCAGCGAUGGAGCAGUCCCCGCCCCGGCCAAGCCCCUGUAACCCGAGCCUAGGGGCUGGGCCGGGAGGGACAGGCGCCGCCCCUGGGAUUGGAGAACCCCCAGGGCCUAGGAAAAUGCAGAAGGAAAACAAGAGUCCAAAAAAAUCGUAUGUGGCUCCUGGUUGUGAUACCAGAAUUUGUGAAGGAAAGGCAAGAGAAUUGCUGUAAGUCUAUGGCCAGCCCGGGCUAUCCAGUGAGUGCGAGAGCCAGGUUCUGGGGAUUGAACCUGGGUUCUCAUGCUUGUGAGGCAAGCACAAGCCGUCUCCCCAUCCCCUGCAUUCUUAAUUCUUCCAUUGAUUAAACCCAAAAUUUCCUCAGCACUCUUGGUAGUGUCUGGAUACUUUUCCAGUCAGGAGAGACUACACAUGGACACACAGAGAAUCAUGGAUUUAGCAGCAGUUUGCUAACUCUGAAGUGGACUUGGUAAACCUGUUCUCUAUUUUUGUUGGGCUGGAAAGAGGAAGGAGGAAGUGGGGGAAUUCCAGAGCUAUUGUCAGAAGAGUCAAGGUCAUAAUCAGGUCCACAGGAUUGAUAGUUGAGAUGAGUUGAAAACAAGGUCAAAGGUAAGAACAAUAGAUGAAACAGGGUUUGAGGGCUGAGAAUGUGCCAAGGCACCUUGUCAUGUGACACCUCACCUGAGCCCAAAGAGAAAAAUCACUCGAAAGAGUCCCAGGGUGAAU